GCCACCUUCAGACAAGGAAGCUGAGGCUUGCAGAGCUUAACCAACUCGGGGUUAGUAAGGUCUGAGCCACACAGGAUACCACCCAAGUCUGGCGCAUACAGACACUCCAGGCUUAGCGUAGCUCUGGGACCUCAUCCUGAUGUUCCCCCUGGUUGCUAGUGUUGUGGAACGCAUCAGAAAGCAUGGCUGUUUCUGAGCCCUGGUCCUUAACGGUGUUCCCUGCUGCCACAGGAAGUCCUCUUCAGCCAGCUCUUACAGCCACGGCGAGGAAGGGUGUAAGGGAUCUUGUUCCACAGGAUCAGUCUGUACCUUUGAUUUUCCUUGAUUAUGAAAGUACACGGUGUAGUAGCCUCUCUGCCCUUGCAGCCUUCCCCUGAAAAGAAAAUUAAAGAAAAAAAUCUUGUCAUGGAA